UACGAAGGGGGCUAGCGUUGUUCGGAAUUACUGGGCGUAAAGGGUGCGUAGGCGGCCCGAUCAGUCAGAUGUGAAAGCCCCGGGCUCAACCUGGGAACUGCAUUUGAUACUGUCGGGCUUGAGUUCCGGAGAGGAUGGUGGAAUUCCCAGUGUAGAGGUGAAAUUCGUAGAUAUUGGGAAGAACACCAGUGGCGAAGGCGGCUCACUGGCCCGAUACUGACGCUGAGGCACGAAAGCGUGGGGAGCAAACAGG
rnacentral:rRNA from 1 species